CGCCGCGUGGAGGAUGAAGGUCUUCGGAUUGUAAACUCCUGUCAUCGGUGAGUAAAGCGUGCGCGGUGAACAGCCGCGUGUGUUGUCAGUAGCCGAAGAGGAAGGGACGGCUAACUUCGUGCCAGCAGCCGCGGUAAUACGAAGGUCCCGAGCGUUGUUCGGAAUCACUGGGCGUAAAGGGUGCGUAGGCGGCGCGGCAAGUCGGAUGUGAAAGCCCGGGGCUCAACCCCGGAAUGGCAUUGGAUACUGCCGUGCUGGAGCGGUGGAGAGGGAUCUGGAAUUCACGGUGCAGCAGUGAAAUGCGUAGAUAUCGUGAGGAAGGCUCGUGGCGAAGGCGAGAUCCUGGACACUGACUGACGCUGAGGCACGAAGGCCAGGGGAGCGAAAGGGAUUAGAUACCCCUGUAGUCCUGGCAGUAAACGGUGCACGUUUGGUGUGGGCGGUUUCGACCCCGUCCGUGCCGGAGCUAACGCGUUAAACGUGCCGCCUGGGGAGUACGGCCGCAAGGUUA
rnacentral:rRNA from 1 species